AAGAGAGGAACCUUUUAACCAUGAUGUGUACUUCUUUGCUGCCAUGCUGGAUCCACAGUUUGGCUUAAGCUGGGUGGAUUUAGAUGUUACCAACGGAGGUAAUGCAGCAUCGGUGAAGAAGUUCAGAGAUGAACUUAAGAAGACACUGACAGACACAUUGAUCUUUGGGGUGGAGAACAUGGAGAGUACAGAUGACAAGUGCUCAGAAGCCAUGAAUGUGGAUCCAACCAGUCAUUCGCCACCAGCCAAAUGCCCUCGACUUCUGUCACGCUACAAGGCACAUAAGAAGCACAGCUCCUCUGUCCAGAAUUCAAGUAUUGCAACACAAUUAAACAGAUACUUUAAUGAUAUAAGAGACUGUGACAGUGACAAUGCUCUUGCCUUCUGGGGAGAAAACCAGUCCAAAUAUCCUCAACUGCACAAUUUGGCUUUGAAAGUGCUAUCCGUCCCUGCCUCCUCUGCACCAGUGGAAAGGGUUUUUAGUCGAGGAGGCAUUGUAAUGAGACCCCAUCGUGCACGUUUAGGUGCAAAAAUGCUGCAGUCUCUAAUCUUUCUGAAGUGCAAUGAAACCUUACUUUAAACUAAUUUUAUGUAUCACCUACUUUAUUUCAACCACUGUUCAACUACAUGGUUAUCCUUGUUCUCGAGUUUUGCCAUUGACGUUUUCUAAAGCUUUGGCGUAUUAUGAAACUGCUUCCAGUUGUAUAAUUUUAUUUUUGAAACGCAUGCAGUUGGGCCUCUAAAUGUCAGAUUUCUUUAUUAUGUAUGUUAUGUAUAAGUUGCUACAUCCAUUCAACAGCAGAGUUAAAGAUGCAGUAUGUAACUUUGUUAAAACAAAAAAAUAUCUUUGUAAAAGUUAUAUAGUUUUUUUUAUAUAUUUAUGUCACUAUGUUGUGUCAGUAUGUUAUGAGACCGACAAGCUGUGAAAAUAUUGAGCUCCUCUGCCUUUUCUCCAUGUUCCCAGUGCUAACUGGAGAAAUACACUGCUUGGUCAAAAACAAACCAUCUGAUCCAGCAAAAGGGUCUUAGAACUGAUAAAAGUCAGUCAUGUUUUUGUGCACGUAUUUCAAUGGGGUUUGUAUUUCUGCAGAUGGCAGUAGUCGCUCAGGGAGGAAGUGAAGGAGAUCAAUCUUUUUUUCAACAAAUUAUCUGUCUCAUAACAUAUUGUCACAACUUAGUGAUAGAUAUAGAUUUAUUUAAGAAAAGUUAUAUAAUGUAGCUAUAAUCUGUAUACGAGAGAGAAACGAGAGAAAUGAUUGGCAUUUUUUCAGUUUUACAUAUUUGCACAUGGUUUUGAAAUAGCACAUUUAAAAACAACAUAAAUGUAUGUACUGUUCAUGAAAGGCAGAGAAAAUACUAUUUUGAUCGACUUUGAUUGUUUGAAAUUCUGUGAUUACAACAUAGAAGUACUAAAUAAAGAUGUUUAUGUUUA